AACUGAAGGGUAUCUCGAAUCACAUGGAACAAAAGGACAGCAAGGAUAGUGUGAAACCGUGAAAUCAAUGGCGUCAGUGGAGUCAUAUGACAAUCAGAGUGUGUCUUUGGCAAAUAAAGACGUCGCUUUUAUUCUAAGGCCGAAUUGAUUAUUACCUCGGAACCUUUGAUUUGUUUAGAAUUACAGUAAAUUAUACAGGCUGGCAGUGAAUAGUGUGGAGUUAUUUCACCGGUUGAUUAAUAGCAGGCUAGUUAAUAUUUAAAAGGGGACAUUCAAGAGACGAAGGAAUGUCUUUUCUUAGAUGCAUAGAACCGCGUUGUAGCGGAAAUUCGUGAAAACUACUAUAAUCAAAAUCAUAUGCUCAAACAAAAAGGAAUUAAAGGAACACUAAUAUUGGGAAAUCAUUGCAAAGAAAAUUCGACUUUUCAGUUAGAAGAAAUGUUUGCUUGAAACCCGAAGAAGAAAACAGAAACAUUGCUCCGUUUCCUUUGUAAACCUGAUACCUCCGUCACCUUAAUCGAAAUGCGAAAGCGUGAAAAGCACGGAAAUAGAUAUCCCUUCAGCGUUAAUACAAAACGGCAAUGUGCAAGAAGCUAUAACAUACACAAAGAAAAGUAAGCGAUCACAAAUAUGCAGAUUGGAAUUGAAAAACUGACUUCCUUUGAAUUCGAAGUUAAUAUUUAAUGGCGAGUUGUCUGUAUGCACAACUAGGCAAAUCAUUAACAUAGGCUUUCAUAUUCACGAUUGUGAACUCGGAUGUAUUUCAUACAUAAUGCAGAGUCUGGGGGAGAGAUCACCGGUAAGGAUGGCGAGCGAUUCGCUGGGGAAAUCGCCGCGAGAUUGGUACAUAAAACGCUAAGGUGCUAGCGUUAUGAAAGAUGAAACGACUACGCUAUAUGAGACGCGACUAAGGCCUUGAUCAAACGUUCGAAUUACUUGCUAAAGAUGGAAGCGUUUGAAGUUCGCUAAAGCAAGCCUCGAUUCUUCCCACAGGCCUGCCGUGUUUCAUGCCUAACUUUGUGGAGUUUGGUGGGGAAAAAAGCCUGCAUACUAAAAUAUGAGAAGGGGAUAUAGAAAAAAAGAGCCGGCAAAGACCAGAAAACAGCCUGCUAUCGCCGGCAGCAGUUUUGAACCCUGCUAUAUCUAAAAUGGAUGAGUGAUCACGGAAAUGUCGACUGCCAAAUGGCCCAAGGUACCAUGGGUGAUAUGGAUUAAGGACGGACCAUAA